CCUACGGGGGGCAGCAGUGGGGGAUAUUGCACAAUGGGGGAAACCCUGAUGCAGCGACGCCGCGUGGGCGAAGAAGUAUUUCGGUAUGUAAAGCCCUAUCAGCAGGGAAGAAGAAAUGACGGUACCUGAGUAAGAAGCACCGGCUAAAUACGUGCCAGCAGCCGCGGUAAUACGUAUGGUGCAAGCGUUAUCCGGAUUUACUGGGGGUAAAGGGAGCGUAGACGGCAGUGCAAGUCUGGAGUGAAAGGCGGGGGCUCAACCCCCGGACUGCUCUGGAAACUGUACGGCUGGAGUGCAGGAGAGGUAAGUGGAAUUCCUAGUGUAGCGGUGAAAUGCGUAGAUAUUAGGAGGAACACCAGUGGCGAAGGCGGCUUACUGGACUGUAACUGACGUUGAGGCUCGAAAGCGUGGGGAGCAAACAGGAUUAGAUACCCUUGUGGUC
rnacentral:rRNA from 1 species